CUCAUACUUCCUCUGUUUGAAAUUACUUGUUGUAGAAAUGGAUGUAUCUAGAUGUAUUUUAGUUUUAGAUACAUCCAUUUUCGAGACAAGUAAUCCCGAAGGGAGGGAGUAUUAG
rnacentral:pre_miRNA from 1 species